rnacentral:snoRNA from 1 species
UAUGUGAUGAGCUCAGUACCGCCCCAGUCUGAUCAUGGUGACUGAAAGGUAUUUCUGAACCAGG